CCUGUGUGGUAUGCUCAGCUUUGAGAACUGAAUUCCAUGGGUUGUGUCAGCGUCAGACCUGUGAAAUUCAGUUCUUCAGCUGGGGUAUCUCUGUCAUCCU
ensembl:miRNA